rnacentral:rRNA from 1 species
GAUGAACGCUGGCGGCGUGCCUAAUACAUGCAAGUCGAGCGAACGGACGAGAAGCUUGCUUCUCUGAUGUUAGCGGCGGACGGGUGAGUAACACGUGGAUAACCUACCUAUAAGACUGGGAUAACUUCGGGAAACCGGAGCUAAUACCGGAUAAUAUUUUGAACCGCAUGGUUCAAAAGUGAAAGACGGUCUUGCUGUCACUUAUAGAUGGAUCCGCGCUGCAUUAGCUAGUUGGUAAGGUAACGGCUUACCAAGGCAACGAUGCAUAGCCGACCUGAGAGGAUGAUCGGCCACACUGGAACUGAGACACGGUCCAGACUCCUACGGGAGGCAGCAGUAGGGAAUCUUCCGCAAUGGGCGAAAGCCUGACGGAGCAACGCCGCGUGAGUGAUGAAGGUCUUCGGAUCGUAAAACCCUGUUAUUAGGGAAGAACAUAUGUGUAAGUAACUGUGCACAUCUUGACGGUACCUAAUCAGAAAGCCACGGCUAACUUCGUG